rnacentral:lncRNA from 1 species
CAAGAUGCAAUGUCGCAUAUCGUAAGGGGUUCCUACAUAGAAAUUAAAUAAAAAAACUAAAGCAAAAAUAAAUAACAAAGUCUAAAUAAAAAUAAGAACAUCCAAAAAUUAAAAUUUACAAGUCCUAAAAAUUAAAAUAAAAUUAAAAGUUCAGAAGUUUUUAACCAGAAUCGGCAUCCAACUAACUCUCCUCAAUCAUUGGGUCCUUCCCUCAACCCGUGUCUAGUAUGGCAG